ACUGUCGUAGUGGUUUCCUUUUGUUGUACAGAUCAUCACACUGCACAUGAAUAGAACAAUUCAUAUGUAAAAAUUUGGGGGAGAAAAAAAAAAGAAUAAUCAUGAUGGUAAACAAUGAAUAUGUAUUUCUAGAUGAUAUUUUAGAUUUUAUACUCUCUCUAUAUCUAUUUCUCGGCCAGUUAGUUCUUUUGCAAAUUCUACCCAAAGCAGUCGCUAACAUAGAAUCACUAUUGUUAGAAUCUUUCAAUUCUUUAUUCAAUUCAUACGAUUCAAUUCGAUUCCCCAAUCCAACGAUUCAAAUCUAUGGAGUUAAUUGCAAAUGUACCUAAAUUGUGACUGAAUCCUACCAUUCGAUAAUGAAUCGGGUGAAUAGAUAUGAAUCAACACAUUGGGUUGAUUUUUUUUUUUCUAAAUGGCUGUUAGACCCUAUACCAUCAACAUUUAAGAUUUCACUUUAUUUUUAUAAUGAAAAGUGCACAUAAACCGUCCCCUAGCUAUUUUGCUUCCACCAGCCAUUCCUUUCUCUCUCUCUUUUCUUUCUUUUUCUUUUUAUUUUUUUAAUUUACUUCUCUAAUUAUAGU
rnacentral:misc_RNA from 1 species